rnacentral:rRNA from 1 species
CAUUGACCUCGGAUCAGGUAGGGAUACCCGCUGAACUUAA